ACUUCUUCUUCUUCUUCUUCUUCUUCUUCUUCUUCUUCAAGUUCUAGUUUAUCGAUUAGAAAUCAUGGCCUACAGGCAAGGGCUGCUUCUCAUUGCGUUACUUCUCGCCGGAAUCUUCGUAUGCGCAUUAUCUUACAAUCGGCCGCCGCGGCGUAGAAACGUCUACGUGAAACUAUCGGAAGAUGCUGGUGAUGACGAUUCCACAACUCCACAACAGGUGCAUAUAUCAAUGGUUGGUGAAGAUAAAAUGAGAAUAUCAUGGAUUACAGAUGAUCCAACUCCAUCAAUAGUAGACUAUGGUACAUCUCCUGGAGUAUACAGCAGCUCUGCCAAUGGAACUUCAUCUUCUUAUCGCUACAUUACCUAUAAUUCCGGCGAAAUUCAUAAUGUCGUCAUCGGUCCACUCAAUCCGAACACUGUUUAUUAUUACCGUUGCAGCUCUAAUUCAGCACGCCAGUUCAGUUUCAAAACCCCACCAGCUCAACUUCCUGUCAAAUUCGCCAUUGCAGGUGAUCUUGGACAAACUGGUUGGACUCAGUCAACUCUUGAUCACAUAUCAAAAUCAGACUACGAGGUGUUGCUUCUACCGGGGGAUUUAUCAUAUGCCGACAGGAUACAGCAGCUGUGGGACUCAUUUGGCCGGCAGGUGGAGCCACUGGCGAGCCAGCGGCCUUGGAUGGUCACACAGGGCAACCAUGAAGUUGAGAAGCUCCCAGUUCUCCAUACAAGCACAUUCACAGCAUACAAUGCUAGAUGGCAGAUGCCAUUCGAAGAAAGCGAGUCCAAUUCCAAUCUAUUCUACUCUUUUAACGUAGCUUCUGGUGUGCAUGUAAUUAUGUUGGGUUCAUACACAGAUUUUGAUCCACAAUCACCUCAGUACAAGUGGCUGCAAGCUGAUUUAGCCAAGGUUGACAGGGCUAAGACUCCAUGGAUUAUUGUUCUGAUCCAUGCACCUUGGUAUAAUUCUAAUACUGCACAUCAAGGUGAGCCUGAGUCAGUUGAUAUGAAGCAAUUCAUGGAAGGAUUGCUUUACCAAGCUCGAGUAGAUGUUGUUUUCGCUGGACAUGUGCAUGCAUACGAGCGAUUUACUCGUGUUUACCAAGGGAAAGCAGACGACUGUGGUCCUGUUCAUAUAACUAUUGGAGAUGGUGGCAACCGUGAAGGCCUUGCUUCAGAUUAUAUAGAACCAAAGCCAGCAAUUUCAGUUUUCAGAGAGGCAAGCUUUGGGCAUGGGCAACUUGAGGUGGUGAAUGCAACGCAUGCUCAAUGGAGAUGGUAUAGAAACGAUAAUGAUGAGCAAGUUGCUGGUGAUUCACUCUGGAUCAUUAGCCUCUCUUCUAAUCCUGCUUGUAAACUUUGAACUGUCAACCAGGCACAAAUAGUCUCACAUUGAGAAAUCCAAAAAAUAAAAAUAGUCAGGCUUUAUAUGUGUGAAAUCCUUCCCAAUUUGAGAUCUUCUUCUAUUUAACUAUUUAAUUUCAGUUAAUUAAACCGAGAAAAAUCAGAUAUUUACAUUUAUCAAAUUUUCAAUUUAAAAAUAAACCAAAUAAUGCUCACCCGCUAGAGAACAAUGAGAUUAAGGUAUGGCACUAGGCAGGCCGUUCGAGCUGGUCUCCGAUCUCUUCAAACAUCGACAAUGGCGUCGUAUUACUUUUCUCGAACCUGGAAGAUCACUUCUCCGUCGGCCCUUAAAGGAGUAUUUGUUGAGCUAGGGUUUUACUUACUCUCAAUCUUCACCAGUAUACUUCCUUCUCUAGCGAAUGAAGAAAUAACUUCUCGCUUUUGUAUAUCUCAGGAACUUAAUCCUCUUCCUUCAUCUAUACCUCUCAGCAACAGCAGCGAACACAGCAGUGUAAAAAGAAUUAGGAAGAAUUUGUGGUUGAAAUCCCGAUGACAAACUUACUGAAGCCCAGAAAUUCUUGACUGCAUUGCAAAUCAUUCAACUGCAAAUGAGAUCCAUACUGUUGUCAGGUGAAAUCCUUUUAACAAGUCUGUUAUCUUCUCUUGCUAAUUGUUGAUGCCACUUUUGGUACUUUGUAAUAAUUUUCACAUGGCUAAUCAUAGACGUUUUUGCUACACUUUGUGCUUUACAAAAUUUGCACCAUCUCUGUAAUGGUAGCCUUAAUUAAAACUUAUGAAAUGAAUGAAAAAAUUGUGGUCCUUGGUUGCACAAACAUGGACAAAUCAUUCUUAUUAAAUAAUCAAAAACUGGGAGAGAAAACAUGAUUUGAAUUACGUAAUAGGAGUGGUCCUCCAUAGCUUGUGAAGGAAGAAAGAUUGAUUGUAUCUGUAGAUGACUAUUGAUUACUGAAGAAAGUGGAUUUUUUUUUCUUCAUUCACCCGAACUGAAGACUUUUGAUAUUUUAGCUCAAAUUAUAUUCUAAAUACAAAUUUGAUUGGCAAUGACCUAAGCUGAGAUAUAAAGUAUGUGCCUUCACUGUCAUAUGAAAGUGUCAAAUUAAUAUUAGUUCUUCAAGAAAAAUCUAGUUUAGGCUUGACAAAAAGGAGUGGUUCUGGACUUCACUUGAUCGCCUGUAGAUGAGGAGAAACCAAAGCCCACACACACAUUCGGUUACCCACAAAAGUUUUCCCCCAAAAUCUUAGAGACUAAUAGAAGAGCAAGGUUAAAGCGAUAGUUUAAAAGUUUGCUCCCCAGUCAAGGCACUAUUAGAUUCCAUUUCUAUACCAAUCUUUUAAAGUUUACUGGGAAGUAUCACAGCUAUAUCGU